rnacentral:rRNA from 1 species
UACGGGAGGCAGCAGUGGGGAAUAUUGCACAAUGGGCGCAAGCCUGAUGCAGCCAUGCCGCGUGUGUGAAGAAGGCCUUCGGGUUGUAAAGCACUUUCAGUCAGGAGGAAAGGUUAGUAGUUAAUACCUGCUAGCUGUGACGUUACUGACAGAAGAAGCACCGGCUAACUCCGUGCCAGCAGCCGCGGUAAU